rnacentral:misc_RNA from 1 species
CAGAGCCGCGGUCUGACGGGG